GACAGGUGCUGCAUGGCUGUCGUCAGCUCGUGUUGUGAAAUGUUGGGUUAAGUCUCGCAACGAGCGCAACCCCUAUCUUUAGUUGCCAGCAUUAAGUUGGGCACUCUAGAGAGACUGCCCGGGUUAACCGGGAGGAAGGUGGGGAUGACGUCAAGUCCUCAUGGCCCUUAUGCCUAGGGCUACACACGUAAUACAAUGGUAUGCACAAUGGGACGCGAACCAGCGAUGGGGAGCAAAUCUCAAAAAGCAUAUCCCAGUCCGGAUUGGAGUCUGCAACUCGACUCCAUGAAGUUGGAAUCGCUAGUA
rnacentral:rRNA from 1 species